AGACAAUGGGGGCAACCCUGAUAUAGCCAUGCCGCGUGUGUGAUGAAGGCCCUAGGGUCGUAAAGCACUUUCGCCAGAGAUGAUAAUGACAGUAUCUGGUAAAGACUCCCGGGCUAACUCCGUGCCAGCAGCCGCGGUAAUACGGAGGGGGUUAGCGUUGUUCGGAAUUACUGGGCGUAAAGCGCACGUAGGCGGAUUAGUAAGUUAGAGGUGAAAUCCCAGGGCUCAACCCUGGAACUGCCUUUAAUACUGCUAGUCUUGAGUUCGAGAGAGCUAAGUGGAAUUCCGAGUGUAGAGGUGAAAUUCGUAGAUAUUCGGAGGAACACCAGUGGCGAAGGCGGCUUACUGGCUCGAUACUGACGCUGAGGUGCGAAAGUGUGGGGAGCAAACAGGAUUAGAUACCUUGGUAGUCCACACCGUAAACGAUGAAUGCCAGACGUCAGCAAGUAUACUUGUUGUGUCACACCUAACGGAUUAAGCAUCC
rnacentral:rRNA from 1 species